GGGCAUAUAGCUCAGUUGGUAAAGCAUUGGGCUUUUAACCAAAUGGUCAUGGGUUCAAGUCCUGCUAUACCCA
rfam:Citrus clementina cultivar Clemenules unplaced genomic scaffold scaffold_8, whole genome shotgun sequence.